rnacentral:rRNA from 1 species
AUCGACGAAGCCUAACGCAGCGACUCAAAAUAAUUGUGGAGUCCCCGCGCUCGGGGAUGAUACCGCCGAAAUGCUGGGAUCGUGGCGUCAGGCCCCCGACCAGCAGCCAUUUAGUGGCUCACAGAUCAACGAGCGGUGGUCCCGUCACCGGGACUGCGAUAUGACCGGUCUUAACCGUCGAGGUUGAGAGAACACGUUCCGUAGGUGAACCUGCGGAAGGAUCAUUA